AUACGUAGGGCGCGAGCGUUGUCCGGAAUUAUUGGGCGUAAAGGGCUUGUAGGCGGUUUGUCGCGUCUGCCGUGAAAUUCCCUGGCUUAACUGGGGGCGUGCGGUGGGUACGGGCAGGCUUGAGUGCGGUAGGGGAGACUGGAAUUCCUGGUGUAGCGGUGGAAUGCGCAGAUACCAGGAGGAACACCGGUGGCGAAGGCGGGUCUCUGGGCCGUUACUGACGCUGAGGAGCGAAAGCAUGGGGAGCGAACAGGAUUAGAUACCCUGGUAGUCCAUGCUGUAAACGUUGGGCACUAGGUGUGGGGGCCGUCCUUGGUUUCUGCGCCGUAGCUAACGCUUUAAGUGCCCCGCCUGGGGAGUACGGCCGCAAGGCUAAA
rnacentral:rRNA from 1 species